rnacentral:rRNA from 1 species
UACAGAGGUCCCAAGCGUUGUUCGGAUUCACUGGGCGUAAAGGGUGCGUAGGCGGUCGGGUAAGUCUGUCGUGAAAUCUCCGGGCUUAACUCGGAAAGGUCAACUGAUACUGUGCGACUAGAGUGCGGAAGGGGCAACUGGAAUUCUCGGUGUAGCGGUGAAAUGCGUAGAUAUCUGGAGGAACACCGGUGGCGAAGGCGGCAUCCUGGACCGACACUGACGCUGAGGCGCGAAAGCCAGGGGAGCAAACGGG